CCUACGGGAGGCCGCAGUGGGGAAUAUUGCACAAUGGGGGGAACCCUUAUGCAGCGACGCCGCGUGAGUGAAGAAGUAUUUCGGUAUGUAAAGCUCUAUCAGCAUGGAAGAAAAUGACGGUACCUGUCUCAGAAGCCCCGGCUAACUACGUGCCAGCAGCCGCGGUCAUACGUAGGGGGCAAGCGUUAUCCGGAUUUACUGGGUGUAAAGGGAGCGCAGACGGCUGUGCAAGUCUGUAGUGAAAGGCGGGGGCCCAACCCCCGAACUGCUCUGGAAACUGUGAAGCUGGAGGGCAGGAGAGGUAAGCGGAAUUCCUAGGGUAGCGGUGAAAUGCGUAGAGAUGAGGAGGAACACCAGUGGCGAAGGCGGCUUACUGGACUGCAACUGACGUUGAGGCUCGAAAGCGUGGGGAGCAAACAGGAUUAGAUACCCGAGUAGUC
rnacentral:rRNA from 1 species